ACAGAGGGCCCGAGCGUUAAUCGGAAUCACUGGGCUUAAAGCGUACGUAGGCGGACUUGAAGGCAUCUUGUGAAAUCCCUCGGCUCAACCGGGGAAUUGCAGGGUGAACCACAAGUCUUGAGGCGAGUAGAGGCGGUCGGAACGAUAGGUGGAGCGGUGAAAUGCGUAGAUAUCUAUCGGAACGCCAAAGGUGAAGACAGGCCGCUAGGCUCGUCCUGACGCUGAGGUACGAAAGCAUGGGUAGCGAACGGG
rnacentral:rRNA from 1 species